AGAGUUUGAUCCUGGCUCAGAAUCAACGCUGGCGGCGUGCCUAACACAUGCAAGUCGAACGCGAAAGUGGAGCAAUCCAUGAGUAGAGUGGCAAACGGGUGAGUAACGCGUGGGUGACCUGCCUUCGAGUGGGGGAUAACGUUCCGAAAGGGACGCUAAUACCGCAUGACAUCCGGCCUUUGAAGAGGCGGAGAUCAAAGCUGGGGAUCGCAAGACCUAGCGCUCGAUGAGGGGCCCGCGUCUGAUUAGCUAGUUGGUGGGGUAACGGCUCACCAAGGCAACGAUCAGUAUCCGGCCUGAGAGGGCGGACGGACACACUGGGACUGAGACACGGCCCAGACUCCUACGGGAGGCAGCAGUGGGGAAUUGUUCGCAAUGGGCGCAAGCCUGACGACGCAACGCCGCGUGGAGGAUGAAGAUCUUCGGGUCGUAAACUCCUUUCGAUCGAGACGAACAGCCUUCGGGUAAACAAUCCGGAGGUUUGACGGUACCGAGAGAAGAAGCCCCGGCUAACUCCGUGCCAGCAGCCGCGGUAAUACGGGGGGGGCAAGCGUUGUUCGGAAUUACUGGGCGUAAAGGGCUCGUAGGCGGCCAACUAAGUCAGACGUGAAAUCCCUCGGCUUAACCGGGGAACUGCGUCUGAUACUGGAUGGCUUGAGUUUGGGAGAGGGAUGCGGAAUUCCAGGUGUAGCGGUGAAAUGCGUAGAUAUCUGGAGGAACACCGGUGGCGAAGGCGGCAUCCUGGACCAACACUGACGCUGAGUGAGCGAAAGCCAGGGGAGCAAACGGGAUUAGAUACCCCCGUAGUCC
rnacentral:rRNA from 1 species